ACACCGGCAGCUCUAGUGGUAGCUGUUUUUAUUGGGCCUAAAGCGUUCGUAGCCGGUUUGAUAAGUCUUUGGUGAAAUCCUGUAGCUUAACUAUGGGAAUUGCUGAGGAUACUGUCAGGCUUGAGGUCGGGAGAGGUUAGCGGUACUCCCAGGGUAGGGGUGAAAUCCUGUAAUCCUGGGAGGACCACCUGUGGCGAAGGCGGCUAACUGGAACGAACCUGACGGUGAGGGACGAAAGCUAGGGGCGC
rnacentral:rRNA from 1 species